UGCAAGUCGAACGCACAGCGAUAGGUGCUUGCACCUUUCAAAGUGAGUGGCGAACGGGUGUAGUAACACGUGGACAACCUGCCUCAAGGCUGGGGAUAACAUUUGGAAACAGAUGCUAAUACCGAAUAAAACUUAGUGUCGCAUGACACAAAGUUAAAAGGCGCUUCGGCGUCACCUAGAGAUGGAUCCGCGGUGCAUUAGUUAGUUGGUGGGGUAAAGGCCUACCAAGACAAUGAUGCAUAGCCGAGUUGAGAGACUGAUCGGCCACAUUGGGACUGAGACACGGCCCAAACUCCUACGGGAGGCUGCAGUAGGGAAUCUUCCACAAUGGGCGAAAGCCUGAUGGAGCAACGCCGCGUGUGUGAUGAAGGCUUUCGGGUCGUAAAGCACUGUUGUAUGGGAAGAACAGCUAGAAUAGGAAAUGAUUUUAGUUUGACGGUACCAUACCAGAAAGGGACGGCUAAAUACGUGCCAGCAGCCGCGGUAAUACGUAUGUCCCGAGCGUUAUCCGGAUUUAUUGGGCGUAAAGCGAGCGCAGACGGUUUAUUAAGUCUGAUGUGAAAGCCCGGAGCUCAACUCCGGAAUGGCAUUGGAAACUGGUUAACUUGAGUGCAGUAGAGGUAAGUGGAACUCCAUGUGUAGCGGUGGAAUGCGUAGAUAUAUGGAAGAACACCAGUGGCGAAGGCGGCUUACUGGACUGCAACUGACGUUGAGGCUCGAAAGUGUGGGUAGCAAACAGGAUUAGAUACCCUGGUAGUCCACACCGUAAACGAUGAACACUAGGUGUUAGGAGGUUUCCGCCUCUUAGUGCCGAAGCUAACGCAUUAAGUGUUCCGCCUGGGGAGUACGACCGCAAGGUU
rnacentral:rRNA from 1 species